rnacentral:rRNA from 1 species
GGGGAAUAUUGGACAAUGGGGGCAACCCUGAUCCAGCAAUGCCGCGUGUGUGAAGAAGGUCUUCGGAUUGUAAAGCACUUUCGACGGGGACGAUGAUGACGGUACCCGUAGAAGAAGCCCCGGCUAACUUCGUGCCAGCAGCCGCGGUAAUACGAAGGGGGCUAGCGUUGCUCGGAAUGACUGGGCGUAAAGGGCGUGUAGGCGGUUUACACAGUCAGAUGUGAAAUCCCCGGGCUUAACCUGGGAGCUGCAUUUGAUACGUGUAGACUAGAGUGUGAGAGGGGGUUGUGGAAUUCCCAGUGUAGAGGUGAAAUUCGUAGAUAUUGGGAAGAACACCGGUGGCGAAGGCGGCAACCUGGCUCAUUACUGACGCUGAGGCGCGAAAGCGUGGGGAGCAAAC